rnacentral:rRNA from 1 species
CCAAUAGCGUAUAUUAAAGUUGUUGCAGUUAAAAAGCUCGUAGUUGAAUUUCGGGGUUAGUAGGUUGGUCGUGCCAAUGGUAUGCACUGGCCUCACUGAUUCCUCCUUCUUGAUGAACCUUAAUGCCAUUAAUUUGGUGUUUUGGGGAAUCUGGACUGUUACUUUGAAAAAAUUAGAGUGUUUAAAGCAAGCUAACGCUUGAAUACAUUAGCAUGGAAUAAUGAAAUAGGACGUUCGGUCUUAUUUUGUUGGUUUCUAAGAUUGACGUAAUGAUUAAUAGGGAUAGUUGGGGGCAUUAGUAUUCAAUUGUCAGAGGUGAAAUUCUUGGAUUUAUUGAAGACUAACUACUGCGAAAGCAUUUGCCAAGGAUGUUUUCAUUAAUCAAGAACGAAAGUUAGGGGAUCGAAGACGAUCAGAUACCGUCGUAGUCUUAACCAUAAACUAUGCCGACUAGGGAUCGGAUGAUGUUAAUUUUUUAAUGACUCAUUCGGCGCCUUACG